UACGGAGGGGGCUAGCGUUGUUCGGAAUCACUGGGCGUAAAGCGCACGUAGGCGGAUCUUUAAGUCAGGGGUGAAAUCCCAAGGCUCAACCUUGGAACUGCCUUUGAUACUGGGGAUCUCGAGUCCGGAAGAGGUUGGUGGAACUGCGAGUGUAGAGGUGAAAUUCGUAGAUAUCGAGAGGAACACCGGUGGCGAAGGCGGCCUUCUGGACAGUGACUGACGCUGAGACGCGAAAGCGUGGGGAGCAAACAGG
rnacentral:rRNA from 1 species